GAAGUUUUUUCUUCCCUUUCACUGGGGGCCCAAAAGCCUAUCAAGAUGUUUUGACUCGCAAGCGAGACGCGAGCGGAGCGGCAGCAGUCUCUCGAGUCUUCCCGUUCCUCUCGCUGCGAAUCUCGGGCGAUCUCCGUUUCUCUGCCGGAUUCGCCGGUUUCUUCUCGCCUCCGGUUGCCUCUGGGUGGCCGGUGUGCGGGGAGAGCUGCGAAUCCGGUGGGAGAUGUACAUAUUCCCUUCUAAUAGAGUACAUCUAGAUAGGUUAGGGUUAGUUUCUCUCUCGGUGAGAAAUUCACCGGGAUUUUUUUGGUUUCCCCUUCAAAUCUUCUCUGCUACUGCUUGUAUCGUUGGUGAGCGGGAUUUGUUCGGUGCUGGAGUUCACAAGGUGCUUGGCGAUGGCUUCUAUUGCGGAGGAUUCAACACCGAUGGGUAUGUUACUGUUUCUUUCUUAUGCGUCGGCAAGCGAAUCGUCUGUAUGCUUCUUUGUGCCAUCGGAGUCCUUGGCAUCAUCAGCAACGAAGGUCUCGUAAACUACGACUUAGUGGUAGAUGAUUGGAGGGGUUCUAGUGGAUUUACCGGUGGAGGGUUAUUCAUCGGAAUUUUGUCCCUCCAAAGGUGUCCUAGUGGUCGUGUUAGGACCUUCCUUGUGAGGUUCGCUAUCCACCUUCCUAUAUGUACGGGUUGGUGUACUUGUCCCACCGUCUCUGGUGGUUUACUUCCCCUUCGGGGUUCUUGUUGUCCGGCGAGCCGGAGUUGUAGUAUGAGGCGUCAGACUCCCUGGUUCUGACAAUAUGAUGGCUGCCAGCAAUCUCUCCUAGCCUGUUCAUUCAUCGUCUUCAAGUUGCGUCGGUUCUCCGAUGUGUUGCUCAUGGUGCCUUUCAAACUUUGUUUCCUUUGUCGGUGUGGUGGCCGGCUUCAUAUAUGGCUCCGAUCAUCGGCGACGAGAAAGACCGGGGAUUCUUACAAGGAUCUGGAUAUAACUUCCGUUUUGUUUCAAGUUUGUCUCUUUAGGAUGGGUUGUAAACUACCAGUUUUAUUAUAAAUAAAAAUCCCGGUUCCUCUAAAAAAACGAGACGCGAGCGCACACAAAAGUGUUCCUUCGCUUCCUCUCAAAAAAAGUGUUCCUUCGGCCCAGCUGUCACACUGAAACAAAUGCAGCACUUGUUCAUUUAUUCAUUCAGUCGAAAAAUCAAACUUCCUAAAAAAAAGAAGAAGAAAAAUCCAACUGAUGCAACCGCAACAUUGGACGGAUAUUGAAAUACCGAGUUUGAGUAUGCUCGCUUUAAAUGUUAUUACUAGCUCACGAUUAUAAAAAGGACAUUCGGUUCAGUUUAGUCCAUGGUUUCAGCCGCUAGGAUUUCAACAAAUUGAACGCGCUCAAGGGAUCCUCGACAUCGAGGCGUAGUAGAGUACCCUCGCGGCUAGUGCAGCCAGUGAGCUUUUGUCUCAUGCUAAAAGACCAAAACGCAUGUAAUGAAAGGAAAAUAAGUAAAUAAACACCGUGUUCGGCUGGUCUCCAGCCCUCCAGCAUUAUAGUAUUUUUUUCUCACACCACUCCAGCUCUAGCCUCCAGCCACCAGCUAGGUAACAAUAUUUUUCUCUCACACUACUCCAGCUCCAGCCUGCCGAACACGGUGAAAAUAUUAAAUGGUAUGUGUACCUAUUUGUCUACAACGCAUAGUUGUUAGUUGUUGAAUGGCUCGCACCAGGUUAAGGUGAACUUUGCAUCACCAGGGGUUCUGAUUUGCGUAAAAACAAAAUGACCAAUGUUGUAGCCACAACUAUUUUAUUACACAGUGAGACACAAACCGUUUAAGGCAUUAUCUAUCUUUUCAAUAAGGGUAAAAAGAACUGAGAGCUCUUCUUAAGUAAUCAUUACUGUGAUGAAAGUUCUUUAAGACUCAUCGUCGCCGUUCUUAUAAGACCUUUGCUAUUUAUCUGUUGUCAGAUUUUUUUUUGUACCAAAUCUGUUAGAUUCUUAUACGUUUUAUUGUGCUUUAGGAUUUGUGCUAUAACUGUCUACUAGAUUGCACGUAUAAACAAAUCUUGACACUCCCUUAUAAUAAGUCAUAAUCGAAAUUAGAAAUCAGCCUUCUCGUCAUAUUCAUGCUCUGCAUGUUAAAGGACCAAGCAUUAUGCCUUAUUAUUUUUUUUCAUUUCUACUGUUUUCUUUCUAUAAGAUUGACUAUCUUUCUAUUUCUAUGUAUCUACCUCUCUAUUUUUUUGAGGAAGAGCGGAAGAAUGAGAAAAAAGUAUUUCCAGCUCUAUAUUGUUUUUCUAUAUAUUUGUUUAUAUAUUUAUCAAUCUAUCUAUUUGUCUAUCUUUCCAUCUCUAUCUAUAUAUCUAUCUCUAUCUUUUUUUUAUUGUUCUAUACCUAUCUAUUUCUAAUGUUUUCUAACUAUAUGGUUAUCUUUAUAUCUCUAUCUCUUUCUCCAUCUAUCUACUAUUUAUCUAUCUCUAAUGUUUAGGAGGAAGACUGAAGGUGUGAAAAUACAAAUGGGAGACCACGAGGAUGGCCCUUUGCCAUCUCUAUCUUUUUGCACUAUAAUUCUUUUUUAUAUAUAGCUUUCAGGAAAAUCUUUGUUAAAAUUUUUGUCAGAAAAACUGCAAGGUUUUUCAGAACUACACUUACUUACCAUGUGAAGUCUUGGCAAAAAAAAGGGAUGCAAAUUUCUACCAUUUUUUCAAAUUUUUGUAAUAGAGUUAUACCUGUCCAUUUCAUUUGGUUCAAAAUUUCAGAUGCAAAUUAAUUUCUCAAUUUGUUAGCGAAUGAAUGAAAGUGACUAUCAUCACAAAAAUAUGCAUGGUUAGCUCUCUGCACGCACGGAUUUGCAGCCUUCCAGGGGCCUCUUUUUUUUUUACACACGCUCGUUCACUCGGUCGGUCCAGUUGUUAUGCAGAAGCCAAAAUGCGGCCACUUAAUUGCCGAAGGAAAACGGACUAAAAUGAAUCCAACCAUGGAGUGGUAGCACACCGAUCUCAUCAUUAUUUCAUGGGAUCCCUUAUUUCAUCACUUCCGAGAAAAAGCCACAGGAUAUGGGAAUCCAUCCUUGGGAAGUUGGGAUGCGCUUUUCCCUUGGGCCCUGGCUGCAUCAAUAUCCUCGCAUCAAAUAUUCCAGGGACAGGCUGGCCUACAAAACGCAGCAUCCUCCAUAGGUCCCAGAACCCCUCGCAAACCACAAGCUCACCGCAGAGUUGCAGAGCAGAGAAACCAACCGGUCGAGAUGGCGGCAUCCGCUAUGAACCCGCUCGUCGCCGGCUGCCUCCUGGCCCUCGUCGUCGCCGCAGGUGCGGCGCGGACGGAGCCGGGCGCCACGGUGACGGACCCGGACAUGCUGCCGACGAGGCCCUGCCACAGCAACAACGGGUGGAGCGUCCACCUCUGCAAGGACGUGUGCCAGGCCAGCGGGUUCAGCCGCUACGACUUCGCCGUGCCGAACGCGGCCACCGGCGACAUGGCGCGCUGCUGCUGCUGCCCCAAGGGCUACAGGGGCGCGUGCCUCGAAGUCAAGGAGUAGGGGAGCCGCCGUCGUGUCCGCCGCAGGCUGAAGAGCCAGAGCGGCGCUUGUAAUCUAAGGGCAAUUUAUAGUCAUAAAAUAAUUGAAAAGAAAUGAAAGUUAAGCGGCAUCAUAUUAAUA